GAGAAAACGGAUCAAGUGGGCUAACGCAA
rnacentral:piRNA from 1 species